GCCUCGGUAGCGCAGUAGGCAGCGCGUCAGUCUCAAUCACUCCAGCGAGUAAUCUCAAGGUCGAGUUCGAUCCUCCCGGGGCA
rnacentral:tRNA from 13 species